UACGUAGGGUCCGAGCGUUGUCCGGAAUUACUGGGCGUAAAGAGCUCGUAGGUGGUUUGUCGCGUUGUCCGUGAAAACUCACAGCUUAACUGUGGGCGUGCGGGCGAUACGGGCAGACUGGAGUACUGCAGGGGAGACUGGAAUUCCUGGUGUAGCGGUGAAAUGCGCAGAUAUCAGGAGGAACACCGGUGGCGAAGGCGGGUCUCUGGGCCGAUACUGACGCUGGAGGAGCGAAAGCCGUGGGGAGCGAACAGGA
rnacentral:rRNA from 1 species